GACGUAGGGCGCGAGCGUUGUCCGGAAUUAUUGGGCGUAAAGAGCUCGUAGGCGGCCUGUUGCGUCCGCUGUGAAAGCCCGGGGCUUAACCCCGGGUCGGCAGUGGAUACGGGCAGGCUAGAGGUAGGUAGGGGAGAAUGGAAUUCCCGGUGUAGCGGUGAAAUGCGCAGAUAUCGGGAGGAACACCGGUGGCGAAGGCGGUUCUCUGGGCCUUACCUGACGCUGAGGAGCGAAAGCGUGGGGAGCGAACAGA
rnacentral:rRNA from 1 species